rnacentral:sRNA from 1 species
UCACCCAUAGCGCCGAGCUCCAUCCAAUGGGUGAGGGACCCCGGAAUGUGGAUGGAGGCGGGGGACCCACCGGUCCGCCGAAUCGGGGUCGCAUGCGACUCCUUGGGGUGAAGCCGGCGUCGGCUCUUCGGCAUCGAUCGAAGACGACGCUGGCCGGGUGGCCUCUCCAACCCGAACCCGACAGCUGACCUCGCAGGCGCGUGCAGAGAGGAAUU